UUUAUAGGAAGGAGAGGAGAGGCCAGCAACUGGAACAAAGGACGAUGGUAUCACUGAAAGUGUUCCACAAGCGCAAACAGUUAAUGACUGUUUGACUUCUGCUGACAGGGCAGAUAAAAAUGAUAGACAUGUUAUGCUGUCAGCAUUAGCAUUCACAGAACAAACUGAAGAACCACCUUGGGAUUCUGAGAGUAAUUCUGAGAGUCUUCCAGAAACAUACGUUGUUCAUUUAUCUGGAAAUGCAGAUGAGAAAGGGGCA